rnacentral:lncRNA from 12 species
AACACCAUAUACCACAGGCAACAUAAUGCACAGCGCAAGAAGCAAUGUAAAGUAACAGGUCAUUGAAUGCUACAGUGUCUGCAGUGGGACCUCUGCUGCCUGCCCUCUCCAUGCUCCACCAGGAUAGACCCAGCCCAGCAGACGUGCAGCAGUAGCCGGACAUCGAGGCUUCAACAGAUGCUGCUGGAAAAAUCACCACCACAAAACAACCUGAGGCAGCAUAAUUGAGCUGUACAAUUUUGAUAAUAGUGCAGUUUCUCCCAAAACCUACGGUGUCCCCAACGACGAUGGGCGAGUAGUCCCUUGGUUCGGCCGCCCGAUGGCGACACUUGGGUCCAGGGCACUUGCUGUCAGCUCCGGGUCGAGCGCAUGUGCGAGGAUGCAGGGUGCUCCGACCGAAGUCUCUAGCUCGCCGUUGAUGGUUAUGCCAUGGAGAUUAUCAAACUCACUUCCCCGGUAGAGUGAUUAUAUGAUGCUCACUCGAAAAUCGGGUUAAAAAGACCGUAAAAGAGGAACAUUAGCAGGAUGUUUAGGCAUGCCACAGCUCUGGAGCGUGAAAGGCAAAAUAAUCAAACAGCUAUCAUGAAAUGUGUAAGGUCAGCAACCCUUCUCCUGAGCACUUCUAGAGCUGGCUCUGCAAGCCAACGAUGUCUCUUCAGUUUCUGCACCUUGGUUUUGGGCCAGAGGAGGGCUUGCUUUCUCCUCUCCGCCCCCGCUGAUGGGUCAGUUUCAGCGGGGCAGGGAUGUGUUCAUGCCAGCAGGUAUUCUCCGCAGAACCCCGUCCAUGUUGAGUCCAAGAACCUGCCCGGUCCUGAUUCAUCCCCAUCGAGCCUUGAUGUGUCCUGUCUCCUCCUUGAUUUCCUCCCAUGUCGUCAGCCCAGGCGAUGUCCCCCCAUGCUGUUCGCUCUCUGCCCCUCGAAGUACACCUAG